GGGGAUUUAGCUCAAGUGGUAGAGCGCUCGCUUCGCAUGUGAGAGGCACGGGGAUCGAUACCCCGAAUCUCCA
rnacentral:tRNA from 1 species